CCUANGGGUGGCUGCAGUCGCGAAAACUUUACAAUGCACGAAAGUGUGAUAAGGGAACCCUAAGUGCCUUGUUUUACAAGGCUUUUGCCAAAUGUAAAUAGUUUGGCGAAUAAGUGGUGGGCAAGACCGGUGCCAGCAGCCGCGGUAACCCCGGCGCCACAAGUGGGAAUCGCAUUUAUUGGGCCUAAAGCAUCCGUAGCCGGAUUGGCAAAUCUUUUGUGAAAUUGUUGGGCUUAACUCAACGAAUUGCAAGAGACACUAUCAAUCUUGGGACCGGAGAGGAGUCAGAGGUAUGGGAGGGGGAGCGGUAAAAUGUUAUAGUCCUUCCUAGACCACCUGUGGCGAAGGCGUCUGACUAGAACGGAUCCGACGGUGAGGGAUGAAAGCUAGGGGAGCAAACCGGAUUAGAUACCCGGNUANUC
rnacentral:rRNA from 1 species